rnacentral:lncRNA from 1 species
GGAGAGAUCCUCCUGGAGGGCACCGAAAAUGCGGUUGUGCCAGUAGAAGUUAUUUCAAGUUCUGAUUCCAGGGCGAAGUACACGAUACAGGAAAAUCGAUCGGUGUAUAAGGUGUACAUGAGUCUUUUCAUAAAAGAUUUCAACAUGAGUGAUGUCGGCACAUACAAUUGCGUCGCAACUAACUCACUAGGAAGGGCGGAAGCCACGAUCAGACUGUACAGUAAGUAUUAAGUGACGCACUGGGCCGCACGUAUUAUGAAAACACAUCCAGUAAAAAUACGAGAUUUUUUAAUGAUAACCAAUUUGUACCCAAAAAUGUAUUCGAUUUAAAUCGACGUAACACUUUAUUUUAACGUAAGUAUGAGAGAGCAUAAUACUGCCUUGCUAAGGAAAAACGCCGCAUGAGCUUUCAGGUAUUGCCAAAUUUUGCUUGGUAAUUCACGAAUUUUUUAGAACAUUUGCAAUCGAAUUUUUUCCAAUUUGUUUUUGUUCGCAAUUUCACCUAAAAGUCCUGAAAAUUUCGAGGAAAGAUAUUCAUAGCUUUUCUCAAAAGUAAACAUUUAAUCGAAGGAAAUUUCGCAACUUUCGAAUGUUCAUACGACGUUUUUCCUUACCACGGCAGAAUGAAGGCUUGUCGUAAGAGAGUGUCAGUUCGCCUUCAUUUUUUACUGUCGGCAACAGGAGCUCCUACGUGGUUUAAUCGUCGUCAUCGUAUGUGAUUGGGUGUCGUCGUGAAAUGGCAGGCUCAUUCGAAAUGCACUCAAGACGUAACUUUUUACCAGACCGGGUGUAUCAGGUAGCCUCUUGUUCAUUGGAAUAAAUAUGCAUGCCUUCAGAUUUGUUUGUUGCCUAUUUGGGUAAGAGCCUUAUGCAAAAACGGCCAAAUCCCCCGUAGCUCCGAUUGCUUCCAUUUUUUAGUAUGCUAUUCUACCAUAACAAAGAGCCACGUUUCUGAUAAUUUCAGGUCCAAAAAAAAAUUUUCCGCGCUUCGGCGGCGUUGCCAAGUUGCAACCUUAAACAUUCGAUAACUUUUGAACCAAUUGAGUUAUUGAUCUGCGGUUUGCGCUAAAAUUCUUUAAAAAUUAUGCACUUUUGUUUUAUGUGUGAUUUUUGUACAGAA